rnacentral:rRNA from 1 species
CCCCUAGACGUUCUGGGCUGCACGCGCGCUACAAUAAUACGCACAGCGAGUAUCACCGAGCUCGAAAGGGCAAGGUAAACAAUAGAAAAGGUACUGUAAUGGUUAUAGAUCCUUGUAAUUAUUGAUCUUCAACGAGGAAUUCCUAGUAAGUAUGUGUCAUCAUCACGCACUGAUUACGUCCCUGCCCUUUGUACACACCGCCCGUCGCUACUGCCGACUGAGAUGUGGGUCCCAAAGUGUUAGGAUUGCCCCGCUGCGAGGCCUACCCGGCCCCGAUUGCGGUCACGGCAAGAAUAUCAUUAAGUGGAAUGUCUUGUAGGGAGUAAAAGUCGUAACA